UUAGCUUGCUAAGGCCGAUGGCGACCGGCGCACGGGUGAGUAACACGUAUCCAUCCUGCCGUCUACUCUUGGACAGCCUUCUGAAAGGAAGAUUAAUACAAGAUGGCAUCAUGAGUCCGCAUGUUCACAUGAUUAAAGGUAUUCCGGUAGACGAUGGGGAUGCGUUCCAUUAGAUAGUAGGCGGGGUAACGGCCCACCUAGUCUUUGAUGGAUAGGGGUUCUGAGAGGAAGGUCCCCCACAUUGGAACUGAGACACGGUCCAAACUCCUACGGGAGGCAGCAGUGAGGAAUAUUGGUCAAUGGGCGAGAGCCUGAACCAGCCAAGUAGCGUGAAGGAUGACUGCCCUAUGGGUUGUAAACUUCUUUUAUAAAGGAAUAAAGUCGGGUAUGCAUACCCGUUUGCAUGUACUUUAUGAAUAAGGAUCGGCUAACUCCGUGCCAGCAGCCGCGGUAAUGCGGAGGAUCCGAGCGUUAUCCGGAUUUAUUGGGUUUAAAGGGAGCGUAGAUGGAUGUUUAAGUCAGUUGUGAAAGUUUGCGGCUCAACCGUAAAAUUGCAGUUGAUACUGGAUAUCUUGAGUGCAGUUGAGGCAGGCGGAAUUCGUGGUGUAGCGGUGAAAUGCUUAGAUAUCACGAAGAACUCCGAUUGCGAAGGCAGCCUGCUAAGCUGCAACUGACAUUGAGGCUCGAAAGUGUGGGUAUCAAACAGGAUUAGAUACCCUGGUAGUCCACGCGGUAAACGAUGAAUACUCGCUGUUUGCGAUAUACGGCAAGCGGCCAAGCGAAAGCGUUAAGUAUUCCACCUGGGGAGUACGCCGGCAACGGUGAAACUCAAAGGAAUUGACGGGGGCCCGCACAAGCGGAGGAACAUGUGGUUUAAUUCGAUGAUACGCGAGGAACCUUACCCGGGCUUAAAUUGCAGAUGAAUUACGGUGAAAGCCGUAAGCCGCAAGGCAUCUGUGAAGGUGCUGCAUGGUUGUCGUCAGCUCGUGCCGUGAGGUGUCGGCUUAAGUGCCAUAACGAGCGCAACCCUUGUUGUCAGUUACUAACAGGUUCCGCUGAGGACUCUGACAAGACUGCCAUCGUAAGAUGUGAGGAAGGUGGGGAUGACGUCAAAUCAGCACGGCCCUUACGUCCGGGGCUACACACGUGUUACAAUGGGGGGUACAGAGGGCCGCUACCACGCGAGUGGAUGCCAAUCCCAAAAACCUCUCUCAGUUCGGACUGGAGUCUGCAACCCGACUCCACGAAGCUGGAUUAAAGAGUAAUCGCGCAUCAGCCACGGCGCGGUGAA
rnacentral:rRNA from 1 species